AAGUUAUUUGCGUCACUUUUUUAAUGAAUGAGCGACGCAAAUAAAUCCAGGUUAGUAAUAAAUUCUAAUUUUUCCACUCAUCUCGCCAUUUGCUGCUGCCUCCAAAUUCAAUAUACCCACAAAAAAAUACUCUUGCUAACCCAUUUGUUGUUGCCUUCAACAAUUGAAUUCAACAACACAAUUCUUUCAAACCAAAACCCAGAAAAAUCGAAAGAUUCAAGCCAAAAAUCUCUUAUUUUCGAGCACAAAAUCAAACCAAAACCCCUAGCAAAAUCGAACACUAAAACCCCCAUAAAAAUCUAGCAAAAAACCCCCCAAUUCGAGUAGAAGUUUGGUGUAUAAACCCCCAGCAAAUUCGAAUGUAAACCUUUGAAUAAUCGAAAAAUUUCCAGCCAAAAACCCCCCAAGUCGAGCAAAAAUUCCGACCUAAACUCCCAACAAUUUCGAACCCUGAAAACCCAGAAAAAUCGAACAUUUCGAGCAAAAAACCCCCAAUUAGAGCAGAAAUUCGAACCUAAUACCCCAAGAAAUUCGAACCCUAAAAACCCAGAAAAAUCAAACAUUUUUUGGCCAAAAACCGCCCAAUUUGAGCAGAAAUUCGUACCUUAACCCCAGCAAAUUCGUACCCUAAAAACCCUAGAAAAAUUAAACAUUUUGGAGCCAAAAACCCCCCAAUUAUUCGAGCAGAAAUUCAAACCUCAACCCCAAGCAGUAAAAUGCCUCAAUUCGAGCUCAAAAUGCCCCAAUUCGAGCUCAAAAUCAGUGCUAAACACCCCAGAAAAUUCAAGCAAAACCCCCUAAAAACUUAUUAUAUUUUACCCCCAUAAACCCUAGAAAUUUCGACCUAAUUAGAGGAAAAAAUCCGUGAAGUUCGACCCAUUGUAGCAGCUAAUUUGUGAAGUCAAUUUCACUCAAAUUUCUCAACUAUGUGGAAGUGAAUUCCUCAAGUUCCACGAGUUUGUGAUUGGGUACAAACAAUUGAGGCGGUAGUACACAUACGACAUUGUCUUCGCUUGUGGCCCUUGCAAGUUGCAACUAUGUUUCCAUUCAUGAAUCCUGAUUGUAUCCUCGGAUUUGAGGGAGGAUGAUAUGCUUAAGAAGCUUGGAGACCUUAUGAAUGAGAGUCAUUAUAGUUGCAGUGUUCUCUAUGAAUGCAGGAUUUUUCAAGAUCUACACCGUAUACAAAGGAGGAGAUAAACGAGGUUCGAGAUAUUUGGGCAGACUAUUUUAUAUGUUGUGUUGAACUUUAGAUCUACACUUAGCAAACUCCAUUUACUUGUUAGACUCUUGUUUUAUUUGUUAGGCUUGACAUGAAUGUAUUUGGUUUACCAACAAUUUGGGUUGGUAUUGGUGAUUGUGUUGGAUGAUGACCAUAAUGUUAAUGAUAUUGAGUUGUAAACUUAUUGGACAGGUUUAUAAUAUGCCGCCGUCAUUCCCAAUUUUAUGGGUAGGCCAAAAUACAAA